rnacentral:lncRNA from 1 species
UCCUUUACGGGCUUGCCGAGUUUCUGAACAGCAGCUACACUUUGCUGAAGUAAGUUAAAAAAUCGCCACAAAUUCGAGUUCUUAUCCUUGGACAAAAAUCAUUGCCAUUUUAUUUCAAAGAUUAAGAGUGCUCACCAACUAUGUGAAUGUCCUUUUUGAGUGGAAAGUGGUGAGGAGGAAAUCAGUGGCUGAGAGCAGUGACUGCCACAGUUGCACCCUGGAAAAAAGGCUCUAUUCAUCAAUUAUGAAAGUAGUCACCAAGGACGAGAUUUUGUUGAUUAUAUGACUGUAUGGAGGAGUAAAAAGCAAAGAUUAAUUUAGGAAGCUGACCAGGUUUGGGUCCCCAUAUCCGAAUGGAAUAUUUCAGUAUGGAUUGAUCUACUGGUGAUGCAAUCAUCUCAAGUCAUGUGACAGUUUCCUCUGAAUUGAAAGGAGACAAGUGAUAGAAGAUGACACCAGAGAAUGUGUAAGGGACCAGGGAGAAGCACACGAGACAAGAAAAAGCUUUCUGCUUCUUUAUCUGACCGCCAUUUGAGGAACUGUGCCAAAAGAACCCUCUGAAGCUGUGAGCCCAAAUAACACUCUCCCUUAACUUGCAUCUGUCUGGUGUUUUUGCUGAAACAGGAGGAGCAGCUAAUGCAAUCGAUGUAAAACAAAUGUGAACCAAGCUGGUAAGCAGCAGGAAAAAUGCUCAGAGAACUUCCAGUUUUAGCCUUGCUGGAGGGAAUGGGGACUUGAGGAAGAAAUUACUCCAUCAGCAAGCAGAGUGACCUCACUGGAAUGCCAAUUUCACAGUUAUUCUGGGAAUAAUAGUGCAAGUUGAGAGCAAGAAAUUAAAAGUCCAAUAACUUGCUAGGAAAACUAGUUCACUUGGAUUCUUGUCAUGGUCCCAGGAGUGAUGGGUGGGGACAAGGGUACAGCUCAUGACUAUGCUCAGGGGCUGUUCUGUAAAUAGUAUUAAAUUUGAUGAUUUUUAUUCUAACAGAAUGAUGUGGGGGGAUUUCUUCAGCAUUCUAACUCUUCCAAUUUCAAUCAAAUUAAAUGACUAGUGUAUGCUACCCCACCUGGCUUUCCAAGCCCCACAGAAGUUGGCAUUUGUGAUGGUGGUGGCUUUUAGCCUUUCAAGUGGCCAGCUGGUUGUAAUGAUUUCAGCUCUACCCUCUGAAUUGAAUAUUAUCCCCCCAAAUUCAAACAUUGAAAUCCUAAUUACUUUACAAUUUGACCCUGGAAAUAGGAUGCCUGAGGAGCAAAUGAAGUCCUUGGGAUGGGCUCUAAUCCAACA